GACGAACGCUGGCGGCGUGCUUAACACAUGCAAGUCGAACGGUGACGCGCCUUCCUUUUUGGUUGGUGUGGAUGGGUGGCGAACGGGUGAGUAACACGUGAGUAACCUGCUCCCUUCUUCUGGAUAACCGCAUGAAAGUGUGGCUAAUACGGGAUAUUCUGGGUCUGUCGCAUGAUGGGUCUGGGAAAGCUUUCGUUUCGGUGGGGGAUGGGCUCGCGGCCUAUCAGGUUGUUGGUGAGGUGCUGGCCUACCAAGGCGGUGCGGGGUAGCCGGCCUGAGAGGGUGGACGGUCACACUGGGAAGGCGAGGCCGCGCAGACUACUGCAGGCGGCAGUAGGGGAGAAUAGUGCACAAGGGGAGGAAGGCUGAAGCAGCGACGCGGCGGGGAGGAAGGAGGCCUUCGUGUUGUGAACCUCUGUCGGCAGUGAAGCAGGGCAGCUUCGUUUGUGGGUGGGUUGACGGUAGCUGAAGAAGAAGCGCCGGCUAACUACGUG
rnacentral:rRNA from 1 species